UCUCCCUCCCUCGCCAAGGAAGGAAGAGCCCAUAGCCCACGAUCCCCGCCGCAACGCUAGAUCUGGAGAUGACCAAUCGAACCAGAACGAGUUCUUACCAAACUUAGUUCUCGAAUCAAAUCUCUGAUUUUGCUCUUUUAAUUUCUUGCCUCCUUGCACACGAAAAUCCACCGAUAUAUAACCAUAUCCUCCUUCGGAGACUCCCACAGAUCUGUUGAAACAAAUCGAUUCCAACCUCGCCGGAAAUUUCUCGCCACGCACGGAUCCAGGCGUUCACGGACGGCCCGCCACGUUGUGCGAGCAGGAGCAAAGGACGCAGAUGGGUGGUGCCGCCGCACGUGUACCUGGCGUAGCGGGGCGCCGGCCGUAGAGAUCAAGUUUCUGCCGUCCCGACCUGAACAGAGCGAGGGGAGGGAGAAUGUGGCCGAUGGCAACAGCCGCAAAAGAAGAAAAAAAAUCCCCAAUCGACAUCAAUGCAAGCUACCACGGAAACCUACCAGCGAGGCCUCGCACCACCGGCAGGGCCUCAGCCGCCCCCAUCGACAAGAGUCGCCGGCUAGAGCCCCGCUCACCCCAUCCCCACUUCUUGCUCGCUGAGACUCCCGCGCGCCUUCAGCUCCCUCGCCCACCUACGCGGUCGCUGGCCUGCCUCCGGUGCUAGCUCCAAUAGAACUACGGGCACCCCCACCGGCACAGCGGACUCAGAGCGCGCCGAAUCACAGGGCUCAGCGCCGCCCUCCCCGUGUCCUCAUGUGCUUCGCUCGCUGACAAGGCACGAGGUGAAGACGGGCGUGGCUGGGUGCGAGAUCUGCAUCCAGAACAAGGCGGUGUAGACGUCGUCGCGGUCGGCAUCCCUUGACAGAGCCGCUGAUGCUGCGGAGGUUGCAGCGAUACGGAGAGCGGUCAGCAGCUCCCAUCAACAACUACAAGGAGGCUAAGGAGAUAAUACUCUGUGGUGAGCCAUUUAGUUCAGUAUAAUCGGCGUGACGCAGUGUAGACAUUGUGCUUCAUGAACUUGCGUGUAUAAUCCAAAGGUACAUGCUCAUGUUCAAUUUACUUCGAUUGUUUUUCAUUCGAUGAAUUUACAGAACAGUUGUUAGAUGCGCUAUCCCAGUUGAGAAAAUACACACCUACCAAAGGACAUUUUAUAGGAAUUUCCUAGAAUCAGCAACUUUGACCAACGAAUAUACCUGGGCUGGGCUGCACUUGCCAGUAUCGAAACAGAAUAUCCAUUCUAUCCUACUCAAAAUCCAUCUGCGACAUCUUUGGUCUUGAUGUAUGAAUGUUGGAAUAUGAGAAAGAAACCUAGCUCACAUAAGUGACCUUUAUAUUAGACUGUUGGAAUAAUUAUUCACUCAUAUUGUACAUCAAACAAGACAGUAGGUAAUGGUUGUUAUUCAUAUUCUAAUUUUCUAUACUCAUGACGACCUAGGAUCAUAUUGUAUUAGCUCACCAUCCAACUCAUUUCUGUGGAGCUUAUAAGCACAAUAUUUUCAUGGCAUCAUGAUUUCUGAGGGUUUGUUGUAUUUUGAACGGGUACUAAAAGUGUGAUCAUGUCCUGUAUUUCUUACACCAAAAUGAACUUUAUUAAGUUUUCAUUAUUACAAGAGUGAUCUUGCCAUAUUGGUGAAGAUCAUCGGCUUCACAUGAGCUUUCGUUAGCUUUUCAGUGCUUUAGAGUUGUUUAAUGUUUUCUUAGAAAGAAAGUUAUUUGUAGUUCAGCAUUACUUUUCUUUGUUUGCUUAAGCUAUUGCAUUGUUAGCCUCAUCUUAUUUUCUCUUAGGAUUUUUAAACUAAAGGUAAUUGCUUGGCUAAAGUACGAACUAAGCUUAUAAUAAAUUUUCUAUGGCAUAGAUUCAAUAAAAAUCAACAUAUAGCAACGCACGAACGCGUAAUUGUAAAUUCGUUUGGAUUCCACGAGCGUUUGAGUAUUAGAUUCUCCCGGUGCAACGCACAUGCAAUUUUUAGAUGGUUUGCCCGAGCGUUUGAGUAUUAGAUUCUCCCGUUGCAACGCACGGGCACUUUUGCUAGUCUUUACCUACUAAUAAAGGAAGUAAGGUUUCUCCCCAAAAAUUUCGUCCGUUUUUGAACUACCCUCCAUUUUCAGUCGAAAUUACAUGGAUUGCCACCGCCCAGGUGAAAAAACGGUUGACCACAGCCCAAUCGACCAUAGCCUGCCGUCCAAAAUCGAUCCCCGCCGCCGACCGCUCGAACGCCGGUGACUGGCACCACCACUCGCCCGACACCACCCGCUCAAACCGAGAUGGAGCCGCCGCCCUCCUCCGUCAUGAGGUAUAGUACCCCCGUUCUGACCUCGAUCUCUCGCCUUUGAACCGGUGCAGAUCAGGGGAGGAUGGUGGGGCGGAGCACGUCGACCAGUUCCCCGAGCCGCGGGCGGGGUGGACGCACACCCGAUGAAAUUAUUGUGGAGAUGAAGCCGCCCUCGGAGGCCGUCACCAAGGCAGCCCCUGGUUCGGCCCCGGACUGGGGCGCGGCCGCAAUGGAGCUAAGCGCGGAUCUUGGAUUUCCAGUCGGAUUUUCUAUCCGCAUUGGCCAUGACGGAUGCUUCGGCGAUAGGACAGGGCUUCUGAUUCUAGCUGUGAAGUCUUGAUCUGGUGCUUCCCCUGUUGCUGGUUGCGUCCUGUCUCAUCCUGUGUGGAGGAGCUCCAGUGUCAGCUCUGCUGCUGAAGCGCCAUGGCCCAUGGCUCUGCGUGCGUCGUCGCCCUGCUGUUCUGAACUUCUGAUGCAGUUCCGCGAUAAGCUCACACUCAUGCGAGGAGUGGCUGCUCUUGUCUGAUCCCCUUCUGCUAGCAAGGAAAUUAGGAGAGCACCCUAUUGAUUUCCUCACGCAAACUUGUCGGAUCUGCUACGCCUGCGUGUAAUAGCCCCAGCCUUAUGGGUAACCCCUUUCAAUCAACAACAUUUUUUCUAUUAUUCAUCAACGUAUUGAUUUUUGGAGGUAGCUGAAUUAUAAAUGAGAAAUAGCAAUCUACCAAUUGCUGAGCUGACGUGGUUGCAACUUCAGUUGAUUUGAGGCUUCCUCUAUUUUUUUAAAGAUAGUGGCUCCGCUCAUGGAGGAAAAGGUGUGGUUUCUUGCAAUUUGCAGGCUAUGUGCGACGAACAAGAUGGAAAUCCUCAGGGAAAAGCUGAUUGAUAGUUGUUUGACCUGAUUACUGAGGUACUACGUCAUAAUAUUGUCUGACCUAAUUACCGAGGUACUACAUCAUUCAUAAUAUGUAUUCCUGAAUCAUCAUGAGCUUGCAAGUAAAUACUAGAUAGCACAUCCCAGUUUCCUACAUCUUUGUAUCAAAACAAGCAUGUUCCUACACUUCCUUUUCUUAUAGCACCAUUGUUCUUUCUAUGUAGCUUUAUGUUGAUUUAGCUUGAGAACAACACUUAUACCUACUAAUAAAUUAAGGUUCCUCUCCUUUUUCUUCAUCCGUUUUGUACUUGCCACUGCUUUUGGAUCGAAAUUACGGACACUCCCACCAGUUAUGUGAAUGAACGGGUCCCAGAUCGCAACGGAGCACCAAGGCUGCUUCAAUGUACCAAGGCUGCUUCAAUGUAUUAACAGAAGACUUGUAAAAUCUGAAGAUGCUAUUACUAUCUUAAUUGUGCUAAAUCUCAAUUCGCAUUCAUAAUCUGAAGGUGCUAAUUUCUUUGCAAGCUCGUAGAGAAGCUUAAGAACACGCAUGCUAAUUUUAGAUAUUGUUGUGUUACUACCAUGUUAACUUUCCUAAAUCUCAAUUCACAUAUCAUAAUAUAUCAAAUUUUGAUUUUGAUAUUUGCAGCACUACCUGCAUUUAGCUAUGACAUGUUCACUUUUCAGUACCAUCAGUGAUUCUGGUAUUGUGUUUGACCAUACCUGAAGAAUUCUAGAAAAGAGGGCACAUGCCAGAAAUCAGCAAACAAAUUCACUUCAGCGCACAACAGAGUUUUGAUGCUGGUAAUGUACCUCUCAACCAAGAAGUGAUUUGUUAGAGCUGACAACAGCGACCAAAUGGUUGAGCAAAUUCUAAAGUUGGUCUCCAUACCAAGUAUUACUCUUCAAUGCACGCAUUCUUCAGUUAUAGUAAUCUUGCAAGGAUCAUUGCUGAAUUCUCCCCAGGUACAUAUUGUAGCAUGUGUAGGCGAGAAUGAAGUGCGGAUUCAAGAUUAGGUUGGCCAAAGAGAAUAAAGAUGAUACCCCGCGCGUUGCUGCGGGAUACCUAUGGAUACACGGAGGCAUACAACUAAAUGUUUUUGUUCAUCAGGAGCAUGGAUUUACAAAGCAGUGGCUCAUCCUGGCGAAGCCCAAGGACCGUCCCUGGCUUAGGUGGCUGAUCUUCGAGCUCAGACGGGUCCAUGCUCUUCAUCUUCCGCACGACGACUGAUUUUCCAUCUACCUGCUUCCGCCCAGGGCGCGGAUGUCGUAGUUGAUCCCUCUUUCUGGUUCUCGGUCUGUUAGGGGAGGCCGACCCCAGUACUGUGUUUAUGUUUUCCUUGGCUAAGCUGUACGCCGCAGCAUGUAUUGAUCUUAUGUGAACCUGUGAGGCUUUAUUAAUUUAAAGUCGGGCACCUAGUGCCUUUUAUCUAAAAAAAGAUGUGUGAUGUUAUGGUAACAUAGCUAGUUACCAUCUCACUCUCUUUCUUCA